UACGUAGGGUGCGAGCGUUGUCCGGAAUUAUUGGGCGUAAAGGGCUCGUAGGCGGUUUGUUGCGUCUAUCGUGAAAACCUGCAGCUUAACUGUGGGCUUGCGGUGGAUACGGGCAGACUUGAGUUCGGUAGGGGAGACUGGAAUUCCUGGUGUAGCGGUGAAAUGCGCAGAUAUCAGGAGGAACACCGGUGGCGAAGGCGGGUCUCUGGGCCGAUACUGACGCUGAGGAGCGAAAGCGUGGGGAGCGAACAGG
rnacentral:rRNA from 1 species